GCGCAGCAGUCGAGAAUUUUUCACAAUGGGGGAAACCCUGAUGGAGCGACGCCGCGUGGAGGAUGAAGGCCUUUUGGUCGUAAACUCCUGUCAUGCGAGAACAAGAAAGUGAUAGUAUCGCAAGAGGAAGAGGCGGCUAACUCUGUGCCAGCAGCCGCGGUAAUACAGAGGCCUCAAGCGUUGUUCGGAUUCAUUGGGCGUAAAGGGUGCGUAGGUGGCUUGUUAAGUUGAAGGUGAAAUCUCGGGGCUCAACUCCGAAACUGCCUUCAAUACUGGCGAGCUCGAGGAUUGUAGAGGAGAAUGGAAUUCACGGUGUAGCAGUGAAAUGCGUAGAUAUCGUGAGGAAGACCAGUGGCGAAGGCGAUUCUCUGGGCAAUUCCUGACACUGAGGCACGAAGGCCAGGGGAGCAAACGGGAUUAGAUACCCCGGUAGU
rnacentral:rRNA from 1 species